rnacentral:lncRNA from 1 species
GUUUUCUAUGUUAGUUGAUUCAAGUUUGUUUAUUGUAAUGGGGGUUUUACUUAAGUUCUGAUUUUCCCCGUGUUUAAAUACCAUAACCAGUAUGUAUCUUGUAACAAUAUUUUUCAUACUUGCAUGCAACUUAGCAGCAUUUAAAUUUAAAUGUAUACACUUGUUUACCACUUAUUUUUGCAUACAAUACAAAUAAUGUGACAUCCUUUUGUCGCAUUGGUUUCAUUAAACCACAUGCAGACUAAAUAUUUUUGUAUAUUUUUUUUG